AUCUAUAUAGUUUAAAUUAAAACCUUAAUUUUGUAAAUUAAAAAUAGAAUCUUCUUAUAGAUA
rnacentral:tRNA from 1 species